GGGGCCAUAGCUCAGUGGUAGAGCAUCAGAAUCUUGUCAAAGAUUCUUACAGCAACUUUCUAAAAGGACUGUCAAUCCUCAAACUCUCCGGUUCGAAUCCGGAUGGCCCCG
rnacentral:tRNA from 1 species